UACAGAGGGGGCAAGCGUUAUUCGGAAUUAUUGGGCGUAAAGGGCGCGUAGGCGGCUUGGCAAGUGGAUGGUGAAAUCCCUCGGCUUUACCGAGGAACUGCCGUCCAAACUGCUUUGCUUGAGACCGGGAGAGGUGAGUGGAAUUCCCAGUGUAGCGGUGAAAUGCGUAGAUAUUGGGAGGAACACCAGUGGCGAAGGCGGCUCACUGGACCGGUACUGACGCUGAUGCGCGAAAGCGUGGGGAGCA
rnacentral:rRNA from 1 species